rnacentral:rRNA from 1 species
GAGUAACGCGUGAGGAACCUGGCUCAAAGAGGGGGACAACAGUUGGAAACGACUGCUAAUACCGCAUAAGCCCACGGGUCGGCAUCGACCUGAGGGAAAAGGAGCAAUCCGCUUUGAGAUGGCCUCGCGUCCGAUUAGCUAGUUGGUGAGGUAACGGCCCACCAAGGCGACGAUCGGUAGCUGGACUGAGAGGUUGAACGGCCACAUUGGGACUGAGACACGGCCCAGACUCCUACGGGAGGCAGCAGUGGGGAAUAUUGCACAAUGGGGGAAACCCUGAUGCAGCGACGCCGCGUGGAGGAAGAAGGUCUUCGGAUUGUAAACUCCUGUUGUUGAGGAAGAUAAUGACGGUACUCAACAAGGAAGUGACGGCUAACUACGUGCCAGCAGCCGCGGUAAAACGUAGGUCACAAGCGUUGUCCGGAAUUACUGGGUGUAAAGGGAGCGCAGGCGGGAAGACAAGUUGGAAGUGAAAUCUAUGGGCUCAACCCAUAAACUGCUUUCAAAACUGUUUUUCUUGAGUGGUGCAGAGGUAGGCGGAAUUCCCGGUGUAGCGGUGGAAUGCGUAGAUAUCGGGAGGAACACCAGUGGCGAAGGCGGCCUACUGGGCACCAACUGACGCUGAGGCUCGAAAGUGUGGGUAGCAAACAGGAUUAGAUACCCUGGUAGUCCACACCGUAAACGAUGAUUACUAGGUGUUGGAGGAUUGACCCCUUCAGUGCCGCAGUUAACACAAUAAGUAAUCCACCUGGGGAGUACGACCGCAAGGUUGAAACUCAAAGGAAUUGACGGGG